UAGGGAAUCUUCCACAAUGGGCGCAAGCCUGAUGGAGCAACGCCGCGUGAGUGAGGAAGGCUUUCGGGUCGUAAAGCUCUGUUGCCAGGGAAGAACGCCUAGGAGAGUAACUGCUCUUAGGGUGACGGUACCUGAGAAGAAAGCCCCGGCUAACUACGUGCCAGCAGCCGCGGUAAUACGUAGGGGGCAAGCGUUGUCCGGAAUUAUUGGGCGUAAAGCGCGCGCAGGCGGUUCUUUAAGUCUGGUGUCUAAGUGCGGGGCUCAACCCCGUGAUGCACUGGAAACUGGGGAACUUGAGUGCAGAAGAGGAGAGCGGAAUUCCACGUGUAGCGGUGAAAUGCGUAGAGAUGUGGAGGAACACCAGUGGCGAAGGCGGCUCUCUGGACUGUAACUGACGCUGAGGCGCGAAAGCGUGGGGAGCAAACA
rnacentral:rRNA from 1 species